UAAACAUGCAGGCGGAACUGGUACCGUACUGGCCACAGCAGGGUUGCGAUAGAAAUAUUAAGCGUAAUUUAAGUACGCCGUCCUUGCUGGAUUCCCUGGCAAAGGGAAUUUACAUAGACUGUUUCCCAUUCCAUAUAAUGGAGUGGGAUUUUUUGCG
rnacentral:sRNA from 1 species